GAUGAACGCUGGCGGCGUGCCUAAUACAUGCAAGUCGAGCGAACAGACGAGGAGCUUGCUCCUCUGACGUUAGCGGCGGACGGGUGAGUAACACGUGGAUAACCUACCUAUAAGACUGGGAUAACUUCGGGAAACCGGAGCUAAUACCGGAUAACAUGUUGAACCGCAUGGUUCAACAGUGAAAGACGGUUUUGCUGUCACUUAUAGAUGGAUCCGCGUCGCAUUAGCUAGUUGGUAAGGUAACGGCUUACCAAGGCAACGAUGCGUAGCCGACCUGAGAGGGUGAUCGGCCACACUGGAACUGAGACACGGUCCAGACUCCUACGGGAGGCAGCAGUAGGGAAUCUUCCGCAAUGGGCGAAAGCCUGACGGAGCAACGCCGCGUGAGUGAAGAAGGUCUUCGGAUCGCAAAACUCUGUUAUUAGGGAAGAACAAAUGUGUAAGUAACUAUGCACGUCUUGACGGUACCUAAUCAGAAAGCCACGGCUAACUACGUG
rnacentral:rRNA from 1 species